UCGGGAAUCUUGGGCAAUGGGCGAAAGCCUGACCCAGCGACGCCGCGUGAGGGAUGAAGGCCUUCGGGUCGUAAACCUCUGUCAGGAGGGAAGAACGUCGGCGAGGUGAACAAUCUCGCCGGUUGACGGUACCUCCAAAGGAAGCGCCGGCUAACUCCGUGCCAGCAGCCGCGGUAAUACGGAGGGCGCAAGCGUUGUUCGGAAUCACUGGGCGUAAAGCGCGUGUAGGCGGCCGGGCAAGUCGGAUGUGAAAUCCCGAGGCUCAACCUCGGAACUGCAUUCGAAACUGCUCGGCUCGAGUCCCGGAGAGGAUGGCGGAAUUCCCGGUGUAGGGGUGAAAUCCGUAGAUAUCGGGAGGAACACCAGUGGCGAAGGCGGCCAUCUGGACGGUGACUGACGCUGAGACGCGAAAGCGUGGGGAGCAAA
rnacentral:rRNA from 1 species